rnacentral:tRNA from 1 species
UGCCGCGGCGAGGCGCCGCACCAGCCCGGAGCCCACCCGGGAGCCGAUCGCGAGGCCGGGCACCGGUUCGGCGCCGGUCGGCGGCAU